UACGGAGGAGGCAAGCGUUGUCCGGAAUUAUUGGGCGUAAAGCGUCCGCAGGUGGUUUGGAAAGUCUGCUGUUAAAGACUGGGGCUCAACUCCAGAAAAGCAGUGGAAACUACCAGACUUGAGAACAGUAGGGGUCACGGGAAUUUCCAGAGUAGCGGUGAAAUGCGUAGAUACUGGAAAGAACACCAAUGGCGAAGGCACGUGACUGGGCUGCAUCUGACACUCAUGGACGAAAGCUAGGGGAGCGAAUGGG
rnacentral:rRNA from 1 species